UACAGAGGAGCCAAGCGUUGUCCGGAUUGACUGGGCGUAAAGCGCACGCAGGCGGUGGUGCGCGUGGGGUGGGAAAUCUGGCCGCUUAACGGCCAGGCGCCAUCCCAUACGGCACGACUGGAGGGCUGCAGAGGUCGAUGGAAUUGCCGGUGUAGUGGUGAAAUGCGUAGAGAUCGGCAGGAACACCCAGGGGGAAACCAGUCGACUGGGCAGCACCUGACGCUGAGGUGCGAGAGCGUGGGGAGCGAACCGG
rnacentral:rRNA from 1 species